UACGUAAGGUCCGAGCGUUGUCCGGAAUCAUUGGGCGUAAAGGGUACGUAGGCGGAUAAGCAAGUUAGAAGUGAAAUCCUAUAGCUCAACUAAUGUAAGCUUUUAAAACUGCUAGACUUGAGAGAUUGAGGGGAAAGUGGAAUUCCUAGUGUAGCGGUGAAAUGCGCAGAUAUUAGGAGGAAUACCGGUGGCGAAGGCGACUUUCUGGCCAUAAACUGACGCUGAGGUACGAAAGCGUGGGUAGCAAACAGG
rnacentral:rRNA from 1 species